AACGAACGCUGGCGGCAGGCUUAACACAUGCAAGUCGAACGCUCGUAGCAAUACGGGAGUGGCGGACGGGUGAGUAACGCGUGGGAACGUGCCCUGAGGUACGGAAUAACUGCGGGAAACUGCAGCUAAUACCGUAUGAGCCCCGUGAGGGGGAAAGACUUAUCGCCUUAGGAGCGGCCCGCGUCGGAUUAGCUAGUUGGUGGGGUAACGGCUUACCAAGGCUUCGAUCCGUAGCUGGUCUGAGAGGACGAUCAGCCACACUGGGACUGAGACACGGCCCAGACUCCUACGGGAGGCAGCAGUGGGGAAUCUUGCGCAAUGGGGGCAACCCUGACGCAGCCAUGCCGCGUGGAUGAUGAAGGCCUUAGGGUUGUAAAGUUCUUUUGCCCGUGACGAUGAUGACGGUAACGGGAGAAUAAGCUCCGGCUAACUUCGUG
rnacentral:rRNA from 1 species